GGCAAUGCGGCGUGCCUAUACUGUCAGUCGAGCGAAUCUGAUGGGAGCUUGCUCCCUGAUGAUUAGCGGCGGACGGGUGAGUAACACGUGGGUAACCUGCCUGUAAGACUGGGAUAACUCCGGGAAACCGGGGCUAAUACCGGAUAACUUUUUUCUUCGCAUGAAGGAGAAUUGAAAGAUGGCUCCGGCUAUCACUUACAGAUGGACCCGCGGCGCAUUAGCUAGUUGGUGAGGUAACGGCUCACCAAGGCGACGAUGCGUAGCCGACUUGAGAGGGUGAUCGGCCACACUGGGACUGAGACACGGCCCAGACUCCUACGGGAGGCAGCAGUAGGGAAUCUUCCGCAAUGGACGAAAGUCUGACGGAGCAACGCCGCGUGAGUGAUGAAGGUUUUCGGAU
rnacentral:rRNA from 2 species